GUGAUUUCCAGAGUUCGAUGGCGGUGCAACCUCUAGUGGAAGCUCCACUUGAUUUAAAGAAGACAUUAUGCCAGACUUCACUUCGGCUACCAUCUGCGUCUGAGAUGCUCCAACGUCCUUAUUUGAAAAAUCAGGAUUACCAUCAAUUUCUCUCUUCCGGUCUUUGAGAAGAGAAGUUGGUGUUAUUUCUUUCAUAUCCACACCAAGAUUCUUAAAUAAAACCUCAAUGUCAAACUUGAGGUUCAUUUUCAAGUUAGGCAUUGAAUAAAUCUCUGCCAGUAGUCCAAGAAUCCCCAUGGUCCAAGGGUUUGGAGGUUGGUAUGCUAAACUACUUUGAC
rnacentral:misc_RNA from 1 species